rnacentral:ncRNA from 1 species
CGACCCGGUACGCCACGACGCCAAACGCUUUGAAAGAACCUCGGGAAAGAACCCAACCCCACCCCACCCGAACCCCGUCCGAACGCCGAUCACUCGCGCGGGUGACAAAUGGCAACUGAGCUGGAUUUGGGGUCGGUUGUCGGGCAUAUGCUCCCGGCAACAACCCCAGACACGCGUCGACCCCGACCGGGACCUGCAAUCCCAGCCGGGGCCUGACCACCGAGGAAGAAAUGACCUUCCCG